UCAAGUAAUUAAGUGCAUGUGGUGGAUGCCUUGGCAGUCAGAGGCGAUGAAAGACGUGAUAGCCUGCGAAAAGCUCCGGGGAGGCGGCAAAUAUCCUUUGAUCCGGAGAUGUCUGAAUGGGGGAACCCACCUACUUUAAGGUAGGUAUUGCAACAUGAAUACAUAGUGUUGCAAGGCGAACGAGGGGAAGUGAAACAUCUCAGUACCCUUAGGAAAAGAAAUCAAUUGAGAUUCCCUCAGUAGCGGCGAGCGAACGGGGAUCAGCCCAUUAAGUUAUGUGUGUUUUAGUGGAACGCUCUGGGAAGUGCGAACGUAGAGGGUGAUAUUCCCGUACACGAAAGGGCACACAUAAUGAUGACGAGUAGGGCGAGGCACGUGAAACCUUGUCUGAAUAUGGGGGGACCAUCCUCCAAGGCUAAAUACUCCUGACUGACCGAUAGUGAACCAGUACCGUGAGGGAAAGGCGAAAAGAACCCCUGUGAGGGGAGUGAAAUAGAUCCUGAAACCGCAUGCAUACAAGCAGUGGGAGCACCUUCGUGGUGUGACUGCGUACCUUUUGUAUAAUGGGUCAGCGACUUAUAUUCAGUAGCRAGGUUAACCGUAUAGGGGAGCCGUAGAGAAAUCGAGUCUUAAUAGGGCGUUUAGUUGCUGGGUAUAGACCCGAAACCAGGCGAUCUAUCCAUGAGCAGGUUGAAGGUUGGGUAACACUAACUGGAGGACCGAACCCACUGUCGUUGAAAAGCCAGGGGAUGACUUGUGGAUAGGGGUGAAAGGCUAAUCAAGCCUGGUGAUAGCUGGUUCUCCCCGAAAGCUAUUUAGGUAGCGCCUCGGACGAAUACCAUAGGGGGUAGAGCACUGUUUCGGCUAGGGGGUCAUCCCGACUUACCAAACCGAUGCAAACUCCGAAUACCUAUGAGUACUAUCCGGGAGACAGACUGCGGGUGCUAACGUCCGUAGUCAAGAGGAAAACAAUCCAGACCGCCAGCUAAGGCCCCAAAAUCAUAGUUAAGUGGGAAACGAUGUGGGAAGGCAUAGACAGCUAGGAGGUUGGCUUAGAAGCAGCCACCCUUUAAAGAAAGCGUAAUAGCUCACUAGUCGAGUCGGCCUGCGCGGAAGAUGUAACGGGGCUAAAACUAUGUGCCGAAGCUGCGGAUUUGACAUUAGUCAAGUGGUAGGGGAGCGUUCUGUAAGCCGAUGAAGGUGURUUGAGAAGYAUGCUGGAGGUAUCAGAAGUGCGAAUGCUGACGUGAGUAACGACAAAACGGGUGAAAAACCCGUUCGCCGAAAGACCAAGGGUUCCAGUCCAACGUUAAUCGGGGCUGGGUGAGUCGACCCCUAAGGCGAGGCCGAAAGGCGUAGUCGAUGGGAAAAUGGUUAAUAUUCCAUUACUUCUGUGUAAUGCGAUGAGAGGACGGAGAAGGCUAAAUCAGCCUGGCGUUGGUUGUCCAGGUGAAAGGAUGUAGGCAUGUAUCUUAGGCAAAUCCGGGGUACUCUAUGCUGAGAUCUGAUAGCAAGCUGUACUUGUACAGCGAAGUGGUUGAUGCCAUGCUUCCAGGAAAAGUCUCUAAGCUUCAGUUACACAGGAAUCGUACCCGAAACCGACACAGGUGGUCAGGUCGAGUAGACCAAGGCGCUUGAGAGAACUCUGCUGAAGGAACUAGGCAAAAUGGUACCGUAACUUCGGGAGAAGGUACGCUGUUGUUGGUGAUGGAACUCGCUUCCUGAGCUGACGACAGCCGCAGAAACCAGGCCGCUGCAACUGUUUAUUAAAAACAUAGCACUCUGCAAACACGAAAGUGGACGUAUAGGGUGUGAUGCCUGCCCGGUGCUGGAAGGUUAAUUGAUGGGGUUAGCGUAAGCGAAGCUCUUGAUCGAAGCCCCAGUAAACGGCGGCCGUAACUAUAACGGUCCUAAGGUAGCGAAAUUCCUUGUCGGGUAAGUUCCGACCUGCACGAAUGGCAUAAUGAUGGCGGCGCUGUCUCCAGCAGAGGCUCAGUGAAAUCGAAAUCGCUGUGAAGAUGCAGUGUACCCGCGGCUAGACGGAAAGACCCCGUGAACCUUUACUGCAGCUUGACACUGAACUUUGACCUUACUUGUGUAGGAUAGGUGGGAGGCUUUGAAGCUGGAACGCUAGUUCCAGUGGAGCCGUCCUUGAAAUACCACCCUGGUAAUGUUGAGGUUCUAACUCUGUCCCGUGAUCCGGGACGAGGACCGUGUCUGGUGGGUAGUUUGACUGGGGCGGUCUCCUCCUAAAGAGUAACGGAGGAGUACGAAGGUGCGCUCAGCGUGGUCGGAAAUCACGCGUAGAGUAUAAAGGCAAAAGCGCGCUUAACUGCGAGACCCACAAGUCGAGCAGGUACGAAAGUAGGUCUUAGUGAUCCGGUGGUUCUGUAUGGAAGGGCCAUCGCUCAACGGAUAAAAGGUACUCUGGGGAUAACAGGCUGAUACCGCCCAAGAGUUCAUAUCGACGGCGGUGUUUGGCACCUCGAUGUCGGCUCAUCUCAUCCUGGGGCUGAAGCAGGUCCCAAGGGUAUGGCUGUUCGCCAUUUAAAGAGGUACGCGAGCUGGGUUUAGAACGUCGUGAGACAGUUCGGUCCCUAUCUACCGUGGGCGCUGGAAAUUUGAGAGGAUCUGCUCCUAGUACGAGAGGACCAGAGUGGACGAACCUCUGGUGUACCGGUUGUGACGCCAGUCGCAUCGCCGGGUAGCUAUGUUCGGAAGGGAUAACCGCUGAAAGCAUCUAAGCGGGAAGCCUACCUCAAGAUAAGAUUUCCCUAGGACUUUAUGUCCUCUAAAGAGCCGUUCGAGACUAGGACGUUGAUAGGUUGGAUGUGGAAGCAUAGUGAUAUGUGAAGCUGACCAAUACUAAUUGCUCGUGAGGCUUGACUAU
rnacentral:rRNA from 1 species